rnacentral:tRNA from 1 species
GGUUGUGGCUCAGUGGUACAGCACUUGCCUCACACAUGUGAGCCCUGGGUUCGAUCCUCAGCACCA